ensembl:misc_RNA Metazoa_SRP Metazoan signal recognition particle RNA
GCUGGGUGUGGUGACCCUUGCCUGUAAUCCCAGCUACUCAGGAGGCUGAGGCAGGAGAAUUGCUUGCACCCAGGAGGUGGAGGUUGCAGUGAGCCGAGAUCAUGCCACUGCACUCCAACCUGGGUGACAAAGUGAGACUCUGUCUCUU